rnacentral:lncRNA from 1 species
CUCAGAUUUAUACUAGCUGACCUAACCUAAAAAAUGAAUCACUGUUCAAUCUGGAGUAAGAAGGGUACACUAAUGGCAGAAAUAUAUCAUCCAGAGUGAAAAAUAGGCUGAAUGUGCCAUGGUGAGUCUCACCGGGGUAAAUCAAGUCACAGGUAUCAUCUGCUGAAACUUCUGCCUAAAGGACAAAAGAGUUAAUUGUAUUUUAAUGAGGAAUGCACCAUGUUAUUCUCAAUUGACUGGCAAACACCCCAUGACUCAACAGCAAGAGCAAUGAAGCUAAGAAGGAAGUUGCAGCACUUUCCUACCCAGCCUGCUCCACACUCCACUGUCAGUCAAGCACGCCACAAAAGAAGAAUGCUCAGAUUGUUUGCAAAUGAGCAACGAAUGAUUCAAAGUGGUACUAAGCAGAACUCCUGUGUCCUUGGUUAUUGA